AGUGAACGCUGGCGGUAGGCCUAACACAUGCAAGUCGAACGGCAGCACAGUAAGAGCUUGCUCUUACGGGUGGCGAGUGGCGGACGGGUGGGGAAUACAUCGGAAUCUACUUUUUCGUGGGGGAUAACGUAGGGAAACUUACGCUAAUACCGCAUACGACCUACGGGUGAAAGCAGGGGAUCUUCGGACCUUGCGCGAUUAAAUGAGCCGAUGUCGGAUUAGCUAGUUGGCGGGGUAAAGGCCCACCAAGGCGACGAUCCGUAGCUGGUCUGAGAGGAUGAUCAGCCACACUGGAACUGAGACACGGUCCAGACUCCUACGGGAGGCAGCAGUGGGGAAUAUUGGACAAUGGGCGCAAGCCUGAUCCAGCCAUACCGCGUGGGUGAAGAAGGCCUUCGGGUUGUAAAGCCCUUUUGUUGGGAAAGAAAAGCAGCAGGUUAAUACCCCGCUGUUCUGACGGUACCCAAAGAAUAAGCACCGGCUAACUUCGUG
rnacentral:rRNA from 1 species